UGGCCCCCCGCGCUGCAGCCGGCAUCGCGGCGGGACCCGGAGCCUGGAGUUCGGGUGGGUAACCCGAGCUCUCCAAGCUCUUGAAGCCGCGAGGGUGGCUUAGCUUCGGUGUUUUGGCUGAGAACACCCUUAAAGCUUAAAAUAAAACCUGCCUCUGGGGUGCAGGGGAGGAGAGAGGAGGACGCGAAUCACACCCGCUGCUGCCCCCCAGCCCGCCCCGUCUGUACAAUGGGAUGCUCGGGACUCGGACGGGAGGAUCCAGUGACUGCGAGCCCCGCAUUCGCCCGAUCCCAGCCUCACACCCCCAGCCAGCCCCCAGAGACCCUCCCACACUUACGAAGGAAAUGCAUGCGGCCAGGAGGAGAAUCCGCACCAGGAGCAGGGAGCUCUACCCAGGAAAAAGAAGAAAAGGACAGAUUCAUUUGGGGUUCAGCCUCAUGCCCCCCACACCCAAGACUUUGUGGCUAAGAUAAGAGAAUCAGGCCACCUUGAGGUUCAUCAAGGUCAUCCCAUUAAAACCUCCCAAAACUCUGGA
rnacentral:antisense_RNA from 1 species